AUGGCCCAGCCACCGGCGGCGACGACUCCGGCAGCGGCGUACGGGUGCGCGGCGUGCGGCGCGGACCUGAACCUGUCGGCCUCCCACCUGUACCCGGCGAGGACCUACUUCGAGGCCGGGAACAAGGGCACGCUGUCCUUCAGCUGGGUGGACGAGUCGCGGCUGCGGUUCGCGGCGGAGGACCGGAUCCGCCCCUUCUUCGAGACGCUCGACUACUGGGGCAUCCAGCGGAAGCGCACCCGCGUCAGCUGCGACGCCUGCGGCAAGCUCCUCGGCCACGUCUACGACGACGGGCCCCCGCUCAUGGACGGCACCGGCCAGCUCGGAAUGGGCCCCAGCCAGGUCGUCCCCCGCCGGCCCAGGUACCGGUUCAAGGUCAAGGCCGUCACCGCCGCCGGUUCCUCCGCCGCCGCCGCGCGCUGA
rnacentral:rRNA from 1 species